rnacentral:rRNA from 1 species
AUGCAAAUGGAGGUCGCCUACCUCGGCGUAGCUCUCGUGCCUUUGUGUGCCGUGCUUCUUUCCAGCCGGAGACGCAGGCGCUCGGUAGUGAACGAGCCACCGGGGCCGUGGCAGCUGCCGGUGAUCGGCAGCCUGCACCACCUCGUCGGGCAGCUCCCCCACCGCGCGAUGCGUGACCUAGCGCGGCGCUACGGGCCGGUGAUGCUCCUCCGGCUCGGCGAGGUGCCCACGCUGGUGGUGUCGUCCCGGGAGGGUGCCCGUGAGGUGACGAAGACUCACGACUUGGCGUUCGCGACGCGGCCUCUGAGCGCCACAGCGCGUGUGCUCACCAACGGCGGCCGAGACAUUGUGUUCGCACCGUACGGUGACCACUGGCGCCAGGUUAAGAAGAUCGCCGUCUUCGAGCUCUUGUCGACGCGGCGCGUCACGUCCUUCCGCGCCAUCCGCGAGGAGGAGGUCGCCGCCGUGCUCUGCAAUGUCGCUGAGGCUGCGGUGGCCACGCGCCCCGUGGAGCUGCGCGGGUGCCUCUCCGCGCUCGGCAUCGACAUCACGGUCCGCGCCAUCAUGGGUGACCGGUUCAAGGAGCGCGAUGUGUUCCUCCACGCGCUCGACCGCUCCACGAAGCUCGUGGCGGGGUUCAACCCGCCGGACCUGUGGCCGUCGUCCCGGCUUGCCCGCUAUCUCAGCGGGGCCGUGCGCAGCGCCAAGGAGUGCCGUGAUAUCGGGAACGGCUCGAGAGGACGAUAG